GGGGUUUUGGCUCAGUGGUAGAGUACUUGCCUAGCAUGUAUGAGGCCCUGGGUUUGAUUCUCAGCACCA
rnacentral:tRNA from 1 species